rnacentral:rRNA from 1 species
UACGUAUGGAGCAAGCGUUAUCCGGAUUUACUGGGUGUAAAGGGAGCGCAGGCGGUCUGGCAAGUCUGAUGUGAAAUACCGGGGCUCAACUCCGGGACUGCUUUUGAAACUGUGUGACUGGAGUGCAGGAGAGGUAAGCGGAAUUCCUGGUGUAGCGGUGAAAUGCGUAGAUAUCAGGAGGAACACCAGUGGCGAAGGCGGCUUACUGGACGAUGACUGACGCUGAGGCUCGAAAGCGUGGGGAGCAAACAGG